UGGGGAAUAUUGGACAAUGGGGGCAACCCUGAUCCAGCAAUGCCGCGUGUGUGAAGAAGGUCUUCGGAUUGUAAAGCACUUUCGACGGGGACGAUGAUGACGGUACCCGUAGAAGAAGCCCCGGCUAACUUCGUGCCAGCAGCCGCGGUAAUACGAAGGGGGCUAGCGUUGCUCGGAAUGACUGGGCGUAAAGGGCGUGUAGGCGGUUUACACAGUCAGAUGUGAAAUCCCCGGGCUUAACCUGGGAGCUGCAUUUGAUACGUGUAGACUAGAGUGUGAGAGAGGGUUGUGGAAUUCCCAGUGUAGAGGUGAAAUUCGUAGAUAUUGGGAAGAACACCGGUGGCGAAGGCGGCAACCUGGCUCAUGACUGACGCUGAGGCGCGAAAGCGUGGGGAGCAAACAGGAUUAGAUACCCUGGUAGUCCACGCUGUAAACGAUGUGUGCUAGGUGUUGGGUAACUUUGUUAU
rnacentral:rRNA from 1 species